AACUGAAAAGAAACUUUGUGUUCCCAACAAGCAAGGUGAAAGACGGCUUUCACACACAUUUAUCUCGUAGAACCGAGCAAGUGGGAGAAUUUCGUUCAUCUAACACAAAUGGAAAAGGUUGCAGGAGAAAUAAUUACUCUGGUUUCUCAGUCUGUUUCCUAGUGCCGUUUUGAAAUUCCUGCAGUUUUCACUGAAAAACCGAGUUGGUGCUAGUACCAACCCAUAUAUGUGUAUGAAGUGUAGUUUUCAAACUAAAGAAUCCAUGUUAUCCCAACAAGCUAGGGAAAGGACAGCUUUCACACACACUUACCUCUCUGAACUGAGCAUGUUGAGAAACGACCGUUCAUCAAGGACA